rnacentral:rRNA from 1 species
AGCGAACGCUGGCGGCAGGCUUAACACAUGCAAGUCGAACGGGCACUUCGGUGUCAGUGGCAGACGGGUGAGUAACGCGUGGGAACAUACCUCUUGGUUCGGAACAACACAGGGAAACUUGUGCUAAUACCGGAUAAGCCCUUACGGGGAAAGAUUUAUCGCCGAGAGAUUGGCCCGCGUCUGAUUAGCUAGUUGGUGUGGUAAAGGCGCACCAAGGCGACGAUCAGUAGCUGGUCUGAGAGGAUGAUCAGCCACAUUGGGACUGAGACACGGCCCAAACUCCUACGGGAGGCAGCAGUGGGGAAUAUUGGACAAUGGGCGCAAGCCUGAUCCAGCCAUGCCGCGUGAGUGAUGAAGGCCUUAGGGUUGUAAAGCUCUUUUGUACGGGAAGAUAAUGACGGUACCGUAAGAAUAAGCCCCGGCUAACUUCGUGCCAGCAGCCGCGGUAAUACGAAGGGGGCUAGCGUUGCUCGGAAUCACUGGGCGUAAAGGGUGCGUAGGCGGGUUUUUAAGUCAGAGGUGAAAUCCUGGAGCUCAACUCCAGAACUGCCUUUGAUACUGAAAGUCUUGAGUAUGGGAGAGGUGAGUGGAACUGCGAGUGUAGAGGUGAAAUUCGUAGAUAUUCGCAAGAACACCAGUGGCGAAGGCGGCUCACUGGCCCAUUACUGACGCUGAGGCACGAAAGCGUGGGGAGCAAACAGG